ACACUGAAAAUGGAAAGAUAAGAGUCUGAGGAGGAGGAAUGUGCGGGAAGGAGAAAAGGAGGGCAAAGGGCAGAGAAAACAGGGUGGGGACGAGGGUGGUUCCAACUGUCCCUACGGUGUCCCCUUCUCUCAGCCCAGGGCAUCCAGCACCAGGAGCAGGUGGCUGAGCAGCAUCUGGACAAAACCCAAGACGCCUUAAGAAGAGCUUGCUUUCUGCUGACUGUUGCCUGUUGACUGUUUUAAUAUAUUAUAGUCAACCUAGAAGCUGUUAAGAAGACACUACUGUCCAUACAAACAACGUCACCAAGGACGAGAGUCUGAAUACCUUCAACAGCUGGCCAGGAGAGAACUGGGAUUCUGGUUCCAAAACCCACUCAAAGUCAAAAUCAAAGAGAGAGAAAAGAAAGAAAGAACGAGUUCGGUGGUGCAGUGGUACAGGACGCCGUCAGUAUGAGUUCAGCUUGACUCCUAGGACUCCUAGGAGAGACAUCCAGCAAUCACAUUAACAAGCAACC